CCUACGGGUGGCAGCAGUGGGGAAUAUUGCACAAUGGGGGAAACCCUGAUCCAGCCACGUCGCGUGAGUGAGGAAGUCUCUCGGUAUGUAACGCUUCAUCAGCAGGGAAUAGAAAAGAAGGUACCUGAAACAGAAGCCCCGUCUAACUACGGGCCAGCAGGCGCGGUAAUACGUAGGGGGCAAGCGUUAUCCGGAUUUACUGGGUGUAAAGGGAGCGUAGACGGGAAGGCAAGUCAGGAGUGAAAGCCAAAGGCUCAACCAUGGGACUGCUUUUGAAACUGUCAAACUAGAGUACGGGAGAGGUAAGAGGAAGUCGUGGGGUAGCGGUGAAAUGCAUAGAUAUUAGGAGGAACACCAGUGGCGAAGGCGUCUUACUGGACCGAAACUGACGUUGAGGCUCGAAAGCGUGGGUAGCAAACAGGAUUAGAUACCCGUGUAGUC
rnacentral:rRNA from 1 species